AACAUACCUAAAACGUUGCUUCGGCGGGAACAGACGGCCCCGUGAAACGGGCCGCCCCCGCCAGAGGACCCCCUAACUCUGUUGCUAUAUGUAUCUUCUGAGUAAACAAGCAAAUAAAUUAAAACUUUCAACAACGGAUCUCUUGGCUCUGGCAUCGAUGAAGAACGCAGCGAAAUGCGAUAAGUAAUGUGAAUUGCAGAAUUCAGUGAAUCAUCAAAUCUUUGAACGCACAUUGCGCCCGCCAGUAUUCUGGCGGGCAUGCCUGUUCGAGCGUCAUUACAACCCUCAGGCCCCCGGGCCUGGCGUUGGGGAUCGGCGAGGCGCCCCCCGCGGGCACGCGCCGUCCCCCAAAUACAGUGGCGGUCCCGCCGCAGCUUCCAUUGCGUAGUAGCUAACACCUCGCAACUGGAGAGCGGCGCGGCCAUGCCGUAAAACACCCAACUUCUGAA
rnacentral:misc_RNA from 1 species